CUCCAACAGGGCCCCCGAGCGGGACUGGAGGCGGGCAGAGAAGGACCUGUGGGAGCAGCUGGCAGAAAGCAGGCAGCAGAGGGCCGAGCUGGCAAGCCGUCUUCGGGCAGUGCCGGAGGCCCUGUCGGAGCAAGCCCUGGUGCUGCAGAGGCGGGAGCACAAGCUGGGACUUGGCUGGUCCCUAAAGCAGAAAGUGGAGUGCUCCCUGGCCUGCCUGGAGCAGGAGAGGCACCAGAUGCAGGGAUCCCAGGGACAGGCUGAGUGGAGGAGGCCAGACCAGAACAUAGAAGACAAGUGAGUGGGGCUGGGCUGUGGGGGAGGGGUGGGGUGGCAGGGAACAGGCAGACCAUCCCUUCUACCCACAGGAUCCUGCUGCUGCAGACAGAAGUGGAAAAGGCCUAGCGGCAUUUGGACCAAAUGACCCAACAGCCUGUUGGCCCAGAGCCCAGCCUGGGGAUCCCCCAAGUGGGUGCAUGGCAGGCCCUGCGCACUGGCCCUGCUGUACCUUUGACUCUGCCCCACACUUUAUUCUCUGGUCCUCAUUAUUGAAGCAUUAUCUAGAGAAGGAAGGCAGCGCAGGGGCUUAGUCCAGCCAAGAGAGGGAUCCUCUUCCAACAUUUGGGAAUACCCUGGGAUCAUUCAGUGACUUCCCUCCUGGUUCAGAUGGGAAAACUGAGACCAGAGAGCAGAGGAGAGCUUGUUCAGAGUCAUAACUUGAGUUGGGGCCAGGACCCUGCCACAACAUGCCCUGAGGCAUCAACGGUCUGCCAAGACCACCCCAGUGUGGUCUGGAAGCUGGAAGGAGACCCCAGGAUUCUGGACCAAGUGUAUCUACAGGAGAUGCUGGUGCCAGGCCUGCAGAUCCAAGAGCAGAGCUGGGAUGGAGGCAGGGCCCAGGAGCUUCGGGACCCAGAGUCUCCAUGCCAGCAGCUGAGACCCCUGCCCAGGCUCAGGACACAGUCCGUCUGCAGGAGCAGUUGCUGAUACUCACUGAGG
rnacentral:lncRNA from 1 species